AACGCUAGCUACAGGCUUAACACAUGCAAGUCGAGGGGCAGCACAAGGUAGCAAUACUGAGGUGGCGACCGGCGCACGGGUGCGUAACGCGUAUCCAACUUUCCCGUUACUCUGGGAUAGCCUUCCGAAAGGGAGAUUAAUACCGGAUGGUGUUGAAAAUUCGCAUGUUUUUUCAACUAAAGAUUUAUCGGUAACGGAUAGGGAUGCGUGACAUUAGGUAGAUGGCGGGGUAACGGCCCACCAUGCCCACGAUGUCUAGGGGUUCUGAGAGGAAGGUCCCCCACACUGGAACUGAGACACGGUCCAGACUCCUACGGGAGGCAGCAGUGAGGAAUAUUGGUCAAUGGUCGGAAGACUGAACCAGCCAAGUAGCGUGAAGGAUGAAGGUUCUAUGGAUUGUAAACUUCUUUUAUAUAGGAAUAAAGCCCACUACGUGUAGUGGUUUGUAUGUACUAUAUGAAUAAGCAUCGGCUAACUCCGUGCCAGCAGCCGCGGUAAUACGGAGGAUGCGAGCGUUAUCCGGAUUUAUUGGGUUUAAAGGGAGCGUAGACGGGAGAUUAAGUCAGUUGUGAAAGGCUGCGGCUCAACCGCAGCACUGCAGUUGAUACUGGUUUCCUUGAGUGCGGUUGAGGUGUAUGGAAUUCGUGGUGUAGCGGUGAAAUGCUUAGAUAUCACGAAGAACUCCGAUUG
rnacentral:rRNA from 1 species